rnacentral:rRNA from 1 species
GCAGAAUCACGUGAACCAUCGAGUCUUUGAACGCAAGUUGCGCCCCAGGCCUUCGGGCCGAGGGCACGCCUGCCUGGGCGUCACGUAUCGCGUCGCCCGC